rnacentral:rRNA from 1 species
CACUACGGCCAUGCUACCUCAACAAGCCCCGUGCGGUCUGAUCUCGGAAGCUAAGCAGGGUGGGGCCUGAUUAGUUCUUGGAUGGGAGAACACCUAGGAAGACCAGGUGCUGUAGGCA